rnacentral:rRNA from 1 species
AACGAACGCUGGCGGCGUGGAUAAGACAUGCAAGUCGAACGGGACAGACCGAGUAGCAAUAUUUGGAAUGUUCAGUGGCGAACGGGUGCGUAACACGUGGAUAACAUUCCGGAGAGCGGGGAAUAGCCCAGGGAAACUUGGAUUAAUACCGCAUGUGGCCGCAAGGCUAAAGACGGGGACCGCAAGGCCUGUCACUUUCCGAUUGGUCCGCGGCCUAUCAGCUAGUUGGCGGGGUAAUGGCCCACCAAGGCUACGACGGGUAGCUGGUCUUAGAGGACGACCAGCCACACUGGAACUGAGACACGGUCCAGACACCUACGGGUGGCAGCAGUCGAGAACCUUUCACAAUGGGGGCAACCCUGAUGGAGCGACGCCACGUGGAGGAUAAGGUCUUCGGAUUGUAAACUCCUGUCAUGCGAGAACAAGGUACUCAGGCUAAUAACCUGAUUGUUUGAUGGUACCGCAAGAGGAAGAGACGGCUAACUCUGUGCCAGCCGCCGCCGUAAUAC